AGGCGGGUGCUGGGAGGAGGCAGAGGGGCUUCUGGGGUCUGCUCUCUGCCACACCACCCGCCUGC
rnacentral:precursor_RNA from 1 species